ACAUACGACCAUAGACUCAAGAGAAUUGGGCAUCCCGUCCGCUCUGCCAUACACAAGCUUGAGAUCGGUGGAUUAGUAGUUGGGUGGGUGACCAGUUGGGUGGGUGACGGUGGAUUAGUAGUUGGGUGGGUGACCACCAGCGAAUACCCAAUGUUGUAUGUU
rnacentral:rRNA from 1 species